GGAUGUGAGGGCAAUCUGGCUGAGACAUCUGUCACUACAUUGAUGGCCAGGGUUGAUUCGGCUGAUCUGGCUGGCUAGGCGGGUGUCCCCUUUCUCCUUCAAUGCUCCAUGUACAUCCUUCCCAAAGUUGUACACUAGGUCUACAAGGAUGGCCUUCCCUGAAUAGAGACGGACCGUAGAGAUGGACCCAUCUUCGGUCUAGGGUAUACGAGUCUCUGUGCUACCCUGCUAGAACCUCCAAACAAGCUCUCAAAACUUCCCUGUAUGAGAAUGACUUAUGUCACAUUGUUAUACUAUCAUACUACAUAUUAUA
rnacentral:snRNA from 1 species